UACGUAGGGGGCUAGCGUUGUCCGGAUUUAUUGGGCGUAAAGCGCGCGCAGGCGGUUUCUUAAGUCUGAUGUGAAAGCCCACGGCUCAACCGUGGAGGGUCAUUGGAAACUGGGGAACUUGAGUGCAGAAGAGAAAAGCGGAAUUCCACGUGUAGCGGUGAAAUGCGUAGAGAUGUGGAGGAACACCAGUGGCGAAGGCGGCUUUUUGGUCUGUAACGUGACGCUGAGGCGCGAAAGCGUGGGGAGCAAACAGG
rnacentral:rRNA from 1 species